rnacentral:tRNA from 1 species
GCCGUCGUGGUGUAAUGGUCAGCACACUCGGCGCGUAUUCGGGAGGUCCGAGGUUCGAGUCCCGGCGAGAGCA